UACAGAGGGGGCAAGCGUUGUUCGGAAUUACUGGGCGUAAAGGGCGCGUAGGCGGCCUGUUAAGUCGAACGUGAAAUCCCCGGGCUCAACCCGGGAACUGCGUCCGAUACUGGCAGGCUUGAAUUCGGGAGAGGGAUGUGGAAUUCCAGGUGUAGCGGUGAAAUGCGUAGAUAUACGGAGGAACACCAGCGGCGAAGGCGGGUAGCUGGGCCAACACUGACGCUGAUGCGCGAAAGCCAGGAGAGCAAACAGG
rnacentral:rRNA from 1 species